rnacentral:rRNA from 1 species
UACGGAGGGUGCAAACGUUGCUCGGAAUCAUUGGGCGUAAAGCGCACGUAGGCGGUCCGGCAAGUCGGGUGUGAAAUCCCUCGGCUUAACCGAGGAAGUGCAUUCGAAACUACCGGACUUGAAUACUGGAGAGGGUCGCGGAAUUCCCGGUGUAGAGGUGAAAUUCGUAGAUAUUGGGAGGAACACCAGUGGCGAAGGCGGCUCACUGGACCGGAACUGACGCUGAGGCGCGAAAGCGUGGGGAGCAAACAGG